GAUGAACGCUGGCGGCGUGCCUAAUACAUGCAAGUCGAGCGAAGCGGGGACGGGUGAGUAACCCGUGGAUAACCUCCUAUAAGACAGGGAUAACUUCGGGAAACAGGCGCUAACCCGGAUACUUCUAGUUGGAUCCUCGCUGCAUGAGCUCGUGGGUAAGGUAACGGCGUACCAAGGCAACGAUGCAUAGCUGACCUGAGAGGGUGGUCGGCCACACUGGAACGGAGAAACGGUCCAGACGCCUACGGGAGGCAGCAGUAGGGAAUCUUCCGAAAUGGGCGAAAGCCUGACGGAGAAACGCCGCGUGAAUGAGGAAGGUCUUCGGAUCGUAAAACUCUGUUAUUAGGGAAGCGGUACCUAAUCAGAAAGCCACGGCUAACUACGUGCCAGCAGCCGCGGUAAUUC
rnacentral:rRNA from 1 species